rnacentral:rRNA from 1 species
AUUGAACGCUGGCGGAAUGCUUUACACAUGCAAGUCGAGCGGCAGCGCGGGGCAACCUGGCGGCGAGCGGCGAACGGGUGAGUAAUGCAUCGGAACAUGUCCAUGUCGUGGGGGAUAGCCCGGCGAAAGCCGGAUUAAUACCGCAUACGCUCGAGAGAGGAAAGCCGGGGACCGCAAGGCCUGGCGCGAUUGGGUUGGCCGAUGUCCGAUUAGCUAGUUGGUGAGGUAGAGGCUUACCAAGGCGAUGAUCGGUAGCUGGUCUGAGAGGAUGAUCAGCCACACUGGGACUGAGACACGGCCCAGACUACUACGGGAGGCAGCAGUGGGGAAUUUUGGACAAUGGGGGCAACCCUGAUCCAGCCAUUCCGCGUGAGUGAAGAAGGCCUUCGGGUUGUAAAGCUCUUUUGUCCGGAGCGAAACGGUUGCGGUGAAUAUCCGCGACUACUGACGGUACCGGAAGAAUAAGCACCGGCUAACUACGUGCCAGCCGCCGCAGUAAGAC